rnacentral:sRNA from 1 species
UACUCUUCUACUCUGUCUCUGUCUCUCUCUGUUUCUGUAUCCCUGUCUCCCCCCCGCUACCUUUCUCUAUUUCUACUACACCCAGGGUAUAGAGUAGACUAAGUGAUGGCCCAGAGUUCCACCAGGCAGAGUUCCUGUGUGAUCAAAUCGUGCAAGUUGAGGCUCUGGAUUUAGGAGGGAUCCAGGACUAGGGUCCGACAGAGCAGCUCAGCACAAGGGUAGAGGGACAAGGGACCAUCCUGUCCGCUCUGAUCAUUGACUUUAAAAGAAGACCUAACUGACCUCAGGAACCUGCUCCAAUAUAAGGCCAGAAUGGAUGUUGUGCCCACGGAUGCCAGUAGUUGGCCUGUGGGCCCUAGGGAGUAUCUAGCCCCAGCCGGUGGCCUCCUGCAGCCACGGCUAGUAGUGGCCCUUUCUGCCCUCGGUCCAUCUGAGCAGACUGAACGGGACAACACUCCUUAGAAUGCAGUAGCUACACUUUCCUGAGGACUUCUCAGGGCUGCAGGGAGCGUGACACAAAGAAGGCACAGCAGGUCUUUUGCUCCACAUUAGCAAGGUCAGUCUCCAUUUACAGAGCCUGUAUCUAGGGGUUUGCUUUUUACCUCAGAGGAGCCAUGGUAACUCUAGAUGUCAGGCAACAGGCUGGCCAACCGCUGGUUGGGUGGGCCACAGGUGCUUAUUAGCAUAGGUCAAUGGACAGCCCAUCCUCCCUGGACUCACAGGGUAGAGUGGGAUGCUCCUUGGGGUACCUUUCCCCCAUUAGGUAGCUGGUCCCAUGCAGAACAGCCUCUCCAGCCCCUCAGAAACAAGUCCAUGGUAAUAGUACGCUUAGAUGCUGACCCUGGGCCCUGGGAGGGGAGAUAUGGAGUCUGAGUUGUCCCCAGGGUAGGGUGAAGGAUGAAGUCAUGAGAGACCCUGACCCUGCUCAGGACAAGAGGCAGAUUCAGUUCAGAGCCCGUAGGGGUGCUCCUAGUAGGUGCCUGUGCGCUGUCAACACUGGGGGAGCGGGGGAGCGGGGAGCGGGCUGCAGGGCUCCCGGUGGUGGGGAAGCUGCAGGAGAUUUUCGUGUGUCAAGAGGCAGACCAACUGCAUGAAUAUUUCAUUAGGGAGCAAACGUGCAGCCCAGGAACAUCUGGUGGAGUCUCCAGGGAGCUGGGCCAGCGCAGAAAGCAGGCACUGUGAAAUUUGGGAGGCAGAGCGGGAGGAAGGAGCUGGGAGGCAGGUGGAUGACAACCUCUCUGCCUGCCUCCCCGAUCCUCUGGUACUGUAGAGCCCAGGACAAAAGGGAAGGUGGGUUCACAGCUCAGCUGUGUUUUUAUCUCUAGUAGCAUCAACAACAGACUUGCUCAGCGUGGGGAAAUCAACGCUCCGUCCCCACCCUCCAGGUCAGGCCAUGGUAACUCUGGGUGGGAGGGUCGCAGAGAUGACAGACAGAUAUACUACCUACACAUCAGCCUGGAGCUAGGUGGAAGGCCCAGUGGGUACCCAGGGUCUCUCUUCUCAAAGGUAUGCUUGUGUUGGGACUAAGUCUGUGACAAGGGCCAUGGGGCCACAGUGGACAGCUAUGACCACCUGCAGACUCCUGGGUAUUCAGACCAGGGAUUUUAAGCCAGGCCAGCAUGCUCCCUUGAUGGAGGUACAUGGACCAAUGACAACUUGCCCAGCUGAAUGAACCCAGACUCCGUGAAUAAAGUCUACCCAGCCAGUGCUAGCUCCUUCUGUCUCCUGACCAUCCUCCUAGACCCACGUGAGUCCCAGAGCCAGAGGUUCUGCCCAGAGCACUAUCAGCCAAUGGGUCCUUAACUGAGCUUAGAGCUAGGUCAGACCAGGUUAGCACCAAUGCACCAGAGUUUACUUCUGAGAAUUCCAGAUACUGAGUCUGUGGCUUGGAGCCAGGAAGCCUGCCUGGGCACCCCUUUGAGUGCUUCCCAUGAGAACACAGGUUGGUCACCAUGCUUCCUUCCAGCUGACAAUGAACCCCCUAGCCCUGUGCGUACCAUGACCAUGACAGGUCUGCGCCUCCCCCUUAACUUUUCCAAAUGCCUUCUCCUCCUCAGCCCUGUGCAGAGACAUACAGGAGAUAAGCCUAUCCCAGGAUUUUUAAAGGGAGCUGGCUCCUCACAAGGCUUUAGCCAGAGUUUGUCUAAAGGCCGUGGCCCACGGUGGUGGUGGUGUGGUGCCUCCCUGGGCUGAAAGAAGAGGUCUCUGAUUGGUUAAGCAGUAUUGGUGCCUGGUAGCCCUUUUCGAUUGGGUUGCCUAUGGGACAUCUACAGCUGAGCGUUUGCUGGGCUCUGAGGAGCCUCCCCUGGAAACUCUCUCCCUUCUUCCCAACCGCCUGUUUCAGUCCCUGUGCCUCUCAGUCUCUGGACCACGCUCCUCAGUGUCUUUACCUCAGGGCCCCUCCCUCCCUGAUGCUUCUAGGGAGGCUCCUCUGCCCUGCUUGGCUCUUCUGACUACAUUCUCCACAGUCAGAAAGUCUAGCCCUACCUGUCUGUGGAGGAAGCUGGGUACCAUGGAGCCUGUACCAAAGCUAAUGUUUUUGCUUCCCCGAGUGCCCAGACCUCCUAGAACGACACCUUUCUGGGAUUAAAGUGACUCCCUGGAGCAUCACACUCGAACAGAGUGGCCCAAGUGCCCUGUGGCUCCACUGACCCUCUCGCUAUCCCACCAGCUUGAGGCCUGAAUCCCAGAGCCCCAGGCCAGCCUCUGUUGGAGAAGGAGAGGAAGGAAAAGGAAGCAUGGGAGGGAAAAGGAAGAAAGGGCACUUGGGCAUGGCUUCGCCUGACCCACACUGGCCACCUGGGAGUACCCACGCCAUAUGAGGCAGAAUGUCUCCAUCCCUCAGCCCCACCCUCCUUGACCAGCCUAGGACCACUAGGGAGUGGGCUUUGUCCUCAGAGCUGUUAGAAAAGCUCAGUCACCCGUCCCUCCCCUCUGGAGCCCACCCCACCCGUGCCCUCAGCAGCUGGCUCCUUGGCACUGGCACCCGGAUCCUUUUGACAGCGCUUGGCUUCAGUCCCAUUGAUCUGCACACAGGCACCGAGGUGCCAAGCCUGGCUGUGGGCAAGGAUGGGGGCUUUGAGAAAACUGAGAGAGCGCGGCGCUGGAUGCUCCAGGACCCUCCAGCAUAGCCGCAGCCCGCCCUAACCGACCUGCAAAAGGAAAUGGACCUAUCCCUUCGUGAUCAGAGGACCUAGCACAAGGAGAGUAGGGAGGACCAUCCCUGGGAGGACGGACAUCAGUGGAGAUGGUGCAGCCAUGAGACCACCAUGGGGCGCGGCUGCUGUAUUCACGGUUCCAGAUGCCCCACCCAGGCCAACCCACCUCACAUCUUUAGAACACCAGCGGAGCACACAUAGGCAAGCAGCGGGCACCAAGACAUAUUAAGGGGCCCAGAGGUUACCCGGAGAGGUCCUGGACACUAGGCAGACAGACAGAUUCCCUCAGAUCUAGCCCUCGGAAAGCUUUCUUGAUCCGGCACCCACACCCACAUCCGACUCGGCCCCCACAGGUACCCCAACACCGAGCCCCACUUCGCCCUUACCUGUUCCGCGCUGGCUUUGGCUACAUCCGUCCGUUCCCAGGCUGUCCUCCACGGCAGCGUUGCCAACUGUCUUCUGCCUCCUAACAUGGGCUGCCAGCGAUCUGCUGCGGGUUUUGUUCAUGGGGUCUGGCCUCACGCAGCCGCCGGCGCUCGAGAUGGCAAGCGUCCAUCUUUCUCCACACCCGGCCCUCACCUCUGCAGCCUUCGUGCGCCUCCUGUGUCCCCACAGUGCCCGCUCUGAGGGAGUUGGCACCGACAGAACCCGGCCCGCCUCUACAGCUGAGGAAAGCCAUGCCUCUUUUUUCUGUAUUUUAAACACACACACACACACACACACACACACACACACACACACUCACACACACACACAUGCCAAGCCCCCCCACCCCCGACAACACGCAUCCCUUCUGUCAGGAACAGACCCAGCCAAGAAAGCCCCUCGCAGGCGGGGGCAGAGCGGAGGGGCUUCGCAUAGCUGGUGCAAACCCAGCCCCAUGGUUCCGUCCCUUCCUGGCCCCAACACACCGCCUCUUACGUAAACCACCAGGAAGGCAUCAAAAGGAGACGCAAAUCCAUGUCACAUUUUGGAGCCUCCUGAUUGGGCACACCUUUUAACUGGCUUGGUUCUUCCAAGCAUGCUCUGGUCUCAGCCGUCCUGAACCCUGCCUGGCUGGCCAUCCUUUUCAUCAUUGUUUUAUAUCGCCGGACGCCCCAACUAGCCUCUGCCACGGUGAACAUAUCCGGGCCCUGGUAUGGAUCAUUCCUGGAAAGAUAUUGAUUUUUGAAACCAAUUCUGGAGCCCAUGCUGAGGACUCGGACGUGGCCUGCUUGCUGGCCAAGCGUCUAGUAGCUACAGGACAGAGAUUGAUGGAUAUUUUGGGCGCACCUUCAGGUCUUGAGCUAAUUAAGUCUGGGAAGGCCAGAAGACGUCCCGGGGGAUACGAGGGCUAAGACCAGCCCGAGGCUGAGGGCAGAAGAGGGAAAAGAGGAAGGUGGUCAGACUCCAGCUGGCUACCCCAGGAGGGCAGCGAGGCCUUCUCCCAGUGCCGCAAGGACUUCUCCGUGGCAUUUCUAGUCAGUUUGAGUAAGGACUUCAGUUUAGAACACCCGCUGGAACAUGCUUCUAAGUGAUGUGGCCGAGGCUCUGCAGGGCCUCUAGAUGGUGAGAUGUUGAAUGGCAGACUCCACGGUCACGUGAUCUCUUGACCUGCUGAAUGGCAGGCUUCACGGUCACGUGAUCUCUUGCCCUGCCCCUUUCUCUUAGAAUUGGAGCCUAGAAUUGGGACCAGUCAUAAAAGAUGCUCCUUCUGAGAGGGGAUCAACGAAAGGAAGGACCUGGACUCUUUCCCUCCUGAGUGACCGCCCACCCAUGACUACCCCCACCUCACCUUUACCCACACUCACCAGAUCUGCGAGGUGACAAAGGACUCUGGGAUGGCACUGUAAAGUUCCCAGGGCCUGAGGCAGGCCUCUCCUUGCAACUACUCAGGAAGCUGAGGCAGGAGGAUUGAGAUUAAGGCCGGCUUAGACUACAAAGGGAGUUUAGAUCCAGCCUAGGCAAUCUCUCGAGACCUUCAAAAUGAAAAAGUGAAAAGAAAAUUGUUCUGUGCAAUGGCUGUUCACUGAGGAGAUUAUUACUGUUAAACUUCUGCAGACAGGAAAAGGGUGGAAGAGGACCACCAUGGUCAACGUCCACUCACACACUCCACGACCCCAAGAAGGUACGUGGACUGUUUCUGAAACCCGCAGUGAUUUGGUGAGGAGCAGCCGCUCUGUGCACAUCGGAUCUGCAGAGCCGAGCCAAGCCCCGCCCGACCAUGUUGCCCCUGCCCACACUCCAGCCCAGCAGGGAAGCCCUGGACAGGCCUCAGGAGUCUGUUAGGAUACUCCCUCCUUCCAGGCAUUCUGGAACGUUCUCUGAAGUGUGUAUCCAUUCGGGAUGUCUCACCUCUGUAAUCUGUCUCUACCCACAGAAGACGCUGGGCAAACAGCAUGACCGUGUAGCUGUGGCAGUCUGUAGCCCUGGGCGUGCCUACUUGGUAGCAUCAAGAAUGGCCUUUGCUCGAGGUCUGGUCUUGUCACUGUGCCCCUGGUGCCUCCCUCACGGUUGAUACUUUACCCUACAAUAAAGUACAGGUGACUCUUAGGGGAAUGUUUAA